AUUGAACGCUGGCGGAAUGCUUUACACAUGCAAGUCGAACGGCAGCACGGGGGCAACCCUGGUGGCGAGUGGCGAACGGGUGAGUAAUACAUCGGAACGUGCCCAGUCGUGGGGGAUAACGUAGCGAAAGCUACGCUAAUACCGCAUACGAUCUAUGGAUGAAAGCGGGGGACCGUAAGGCCUCGCGCGAUUGGAGCGGCCGAUGGCAGAUUAGGUAGUUGGUGGGGUAAAGGCUCACCAAGCCUGCGAUCUGUAGCUGGUCUGAGAGGACGACCAGCCACACUGGGACUGAGACACGGCCCAGACUCCUACGGGAGGCAGCAGUGGGGAAUUUUGGACAAUGGGCGCAAGCCUGAUCCAGCCAUUCCGCGUGCAGGAUGAAGGCCUUCGGGUUGUAAACUGCUUUUGUACGGAACGAAAAGACUCUUUCUAAUACAGAGGGCUCAUGACGGUACCGUAAGAAUAAGCACCGGCUAACUACGUGCCAGCCGCCGCGGUAAGAC
rnacentral:rRNA from 1 species